AGCUGGAGUCUUACUUGGGCUCUGCCAUGGCUGCUUUCCGAAGACUCAUGAUCAAUCCUCCACGAUGGAAAGCUCUUCCGCUCUGCACUUGAUUGUUUUCCGAUAGAGGGAGGGGAUUUGGCCCAGAAGAAGCCAAUGAAGGGCAAGGCUGACAUAAUAUCCGAGAAGACGGCAAACUGGGACCCGCUCCGCUGGCGCCCGAGGGAGAUCCCGUUUCCGUAGCGACAAAGGUACGAGAGCACCAGGCCCAGCGAGAGGAACACCAGCACGCACAGCAGGAGCUCCUUGUUGGCCAAGGAGACGAAGUCUCCGCAUUUCUUAUAAAAAUAGGUGAAAGUAGCAAUGCCAAGAAAAGUGCACAUGGUUCCAAGGCUACUUGGGUGACUCUGGGUCCGUGUUGGGAUCCUUUUUUUCCUUGUAGGGUUUGGGUGAUGACAGGUUUUCCCCGAAAUGCUACCAAAAGGAGCACAAGAAACCGGCCAAACUCCAGUAAAUACCGUAAAAAAAAACCAGGAUUGCAGUUCAAAUCAGAGCUAUUUACAAAAUCAUAUAAAGUUAUUACUACAAAAGUAUCUGAAGACAGGAAAGUUGUCCAGGACUUAGAAAGCAGUAUUUAAAAAUCGCCUACUCCAACAGCACCCGACCGGGCUCUCCUCUUUCAGCCAAUCCAUUUAUUUCCUUUUCUCUUGUUUCCUGGAUGGGUUUUUCCUGGGGGUUAUUGCAGGUGCUGUUUUUAAUUUUGAUGUUGGCUCCUAGUGCUGAAAAACCUUUCUCUCUCACCAGCAGCAGGUGCCCUUUCAGAAGACGGUGAGGGGUAAAAAAAAAAAUCAAAGAAAUCUUGGCGCUGCGAGAAAGGUGGCCUCGCCUCCUGAGACCGCGAUGCCCGGGCCGGGCUGGCAAGCGCGGAGUACGACUCGCCCCCCUUCGGGCGGCCAGGCUACGCGGCCCAGGUGGAAAUUCUGGGCUGCCGUCUCCCACCAAAGAUGGCCUCGGCUUCACCACUGCGGCUCCGGCGCAGGGAGGGGCAACCCCUGCUGAAAAUCUCCCCACAUCAGGCUCCUAUACACCAGCCCCCGAACCUUCCAGUCCGCGAUUCCGUUUCCCCGCAGGUGAACGGCGAUCUCCAGACAACUUCCCUUAGAGGGCGGCGACUCCCGAUGGCCUGUUCGCCAACAUCCCAAGCUCCGGCGCCGCCGCGCUAGUAACCAGAGUAACCAGCUGAGCUCCGGAGGCUUGUCACCCACCCCGCGCGCCCCGCGGCCCAAAGGCUCCGCCCAGGCGAGGGACCAGGGGGCGGGGCUAAAGGAGGAGGGCCCGCCCCGCCCUGCGCGCAGGCCUCGCCCGCCGCCGCCGGCGGCCAGUGAGGGCGCCCACCGCUCAUAUGCCGAGAAGGCGCAAAUCGCCGUUUGGUCAAUCGCGGACGCCGUUGCCAGAUCGGGGACGCCAGGGAGAGGCAGAGUUGGUGCCGAGGACGCCCCUGCGCCACCUAAAGUCGAGAUGUUUCCAUUCAUUCCGUGGACUUUACUGAGCGCUUACUACAAUGCCAUCCCGGGGCCACAGGGAUGAAUCAGACACAACCUUUUUGUCCGGUGCCUAGUGUGUGUAGAACCUAGACGGCGGUAGAAAGAGCUACCGGUAUGUGGAGAACCGGGCGCUCAAGCUGAAUCUGGAAGGACGAGUAGGCAGCAAUUGCCAGAAGAAAGGAAGAAGAGAUGGUGUGCCGGGUUUUCCCUUCCUCUUCCCCAAAUUGUCAGGCAACUACGCACUUGUCGUUGUGCUCAGGCUAAAGACACCCUGAUGCUCUUAGCCCCGUUCUCUCAAGAUAAGAAACGUGGGAAUGGGCGUGGGAGGACGAACGUGAAAUAGAGAUGUGCCUUAAGUGCCCGGAGAAACUGGGUAGACAGGGAACCAUGGAAACCGGAGGCUGUCUUUCACUCGCCCUGGAGGGAGGCUGGGAAAGUCUCCGAGGAAGUUGCAUGUACCCAAGACAAGCAUUCUGGAGGAAACAGUAAAAGAGUGUGAGUCAAAAGGUGAGAGACAGCCCUUGUUAUGAAACGAUGAAACCUCCCCAGGAUUUACUGACUCCUGAUAACAGUGCCUUUGCUGACCUAGACUGCCUUGCCUACUUUAAACUCUAUGACUUCAUGUACAAAUUCUGCCCUCUGGAGCACUGCUGAAUUGUCACCUUUUCCAUCAGGUCUCCACUGACCCACACCAAGUCACAUGAUAGUUUAUUGAUACCUAUUAUCCCAAUCUCUGACUACACCUGUAAGUUAAGCUUUAUCAUCCCACUCAUCCUUGAGGGAAGGCCCUCUGAUGAAUCAGAAUCACCCACAGCACCUAACACGUGUUGCACUUAAUUUAUCCUCCAUAACAAAGUUUUGAUGAAUGAUGAAUGAUAGGUAGUAGGAAGACCAGAUGACUUGAAUCAGGAGAACUAGAUUCUGGCAGCCACUAACCAGCUUUGUGACCUUGGACAAGUCAAAAGUCAGUCAGCCUCUUGAGGGAAAGGUCAGUAUCUCCAUGAAAUCUAAAUUCUUUGCAAUCCUGAACCUGACACUUUGCUGAGUUCAAGAUAGUAUGGCACCUGCCAUCAUUUUUCAUCCCAAAUAUUGUAUGUUUUAUCUGCUAAUAAAAUAUUUUACAUGUCAAAA